rnacentral:rRNA from 1 species
GACGGGGCCCGCACAGCGGUGGAGUAUGUAGUUUAAUUCGAUGCAACGCGAAGAACCUUACCUGGUCUUGACAUCCCGGAGACCCUUAGGAACUAGGGGUGCUUCCAUCUGGAAGAAUCUGGAGACAGGUGCUGCAUGGCUGUCGUCAGCUCGUGUCGUGAGAUGUUGGGUUAAGUCCCGCAACGAGCGCAACCCUUGCCUUUAGUUGCCAGCAGUUCGGCUGGGCACUCUAAAGGGACUGCCGGUGUUAAACCGGAGGAAGGUGGGGAUGACGUCAAGUCCUCAUGGCCUUUAUGACCAGGGCUACACACGUACUACAAUGGCCGAUACAAAGGGCAGCGACACUGCGAGGUGAAGCCAAUCCCGUAAAAUCGGUCUCAGUCCGGAUUGGAGUCUGCAACUCGACUCCAUGAAGUUGGAAUCGCUAGUAAUCGUGGAUCAGCAUGCCACGGUGAAUACGUUCCCGGGCCUU